GCUCUUGAGACCAUGGGUGCCGCCCAAGACUCUGACAUCACUGGACCUCCUCCCUUGGGCUGCUAGGGACCAGAUGCCCCACUGGGGGAGGCCUCAGCCCGCCCAGGCCCUGCCAUGGACGGCAGGCUCUUCUGCUGGGCCAUCCUUGGGCUCCUGGGAGUAGGCCACAUGGAACCUGGAGUCAGACAAAGCCCUCGCCACCACAUCACAGGGCCGGGACAGAACGUGACUUUGAGGUGUGACCCCAUUCCUGGUCAUCAGUACAUCUUUUGGUACCGACAGACCCUGGGGAAAGGGGUGGAGUUUCUGAUGUACAUCUAUAACAAAGAGCCUUCAGAGAAGGCCGACUUUUUAAAGGAUCGGUUCUCAGCUGAGAUGCCUGAUGACACGUACCUGACUCUGAAGAUCCAGCCUGCACAGCGGGGAGACUCGGCCCUGUUCCUCUGUGCCAGCAGCUCAGCCACAGCCAUGCACAGACACCUCCUGCCCUUCCACAAACUCUACAGCUCCUCUGCUCUCCCCAGGCUCUCAGCAGCGCCUGCCCCGCCCAAGGAGGCUGGCGGAUCUGGGCAACGACCAGGCUUGCAGGCCUGUGAGCUGCUGUCCAACAACAACAUGAAAACCAGAAAGAACGGGUGUGGCAGAAGCCCCCAUCAAGGGAGGCUUGUGCACAGCAGCCUUCCCCCAAGAGCAGGACCAGCGCCAUGCUCCCCAAACCUGAUGGUCCUCUUGGGAGCACCCCUGUGA